CAGCACCAAGUGCCUGUGUCAGCAGCAAGGUCCUGACUGAAGUGGCAGCUGCUGUUGUUCCUGUGGUGUGGGCCAGUGGAAUUCCAAGAAAAUGGACAAGGACAGAACCUGCAGAAGAGCCCAGGCCUGAGAUGGCUGAGUGUUGGUGUGACCCAGAGUGGGUGUCCCUGCCCUGGGGACAGUCCCCAGAGCUGCCUUUGGCAUCCCCUGCUGAAGGGUGGGAGCUGCCCAGA